rnacentral:lncRNA from 1 species
CUUUAUUGGAAAGAAUUCGAGAAUGCAUCCUCAUGUGCCAUUUGUGGGGCUUCAAGGUGGAGACCAUCUGACAAGUCCUUGGAUGAUGAUGUAUCAUCAUCAUCCAAAAAUAAAGGUCAAAUUUCUGUAAAAGUUCUACGUCACUUUGCCUUAAAAUCGAGACUUCAGAGACUAUUCAUGUCAUCAAAGACAGCCUCAUUAAUGACAUAGCAUC